CAGUGGUUACCUGUCUACUGAGAAGCCUACUGUAGAAUCAUGGUACUGUCGUUCACUAUUACAAUUUGUAAAUCCCAAGUCUCCAACGCAUGAAACAGCAUGUCAAGGAGGAUUUCUCAGGGGACCAGCGACGUUUUUCAUAACAGACAGUUUGGUUUUCACUCCACUAGCUUCUUUUUGGAGUCUCUCCUUUCUUAAAAGAAUGAAAUUUCCCAUAGAUGACUUGGAGGUUUGUACGGUUAAUGUGGGCACGGUGGAGGCCUUGAGGCUAUUGAAGGCUUCUCUCCUCUCCAAAUCGGUAUUGACUGAUUCCUUGAUUAACUUUGGCUUAAAGACUCCCAAGCAAGAAAAGUACAUGUAAUGAUAAGGACAUCAUGAGACUUGAAAUAACCUAGAGUUCAGUGAACUUUGUAAGGGUCUACGUUUGAUUUAAAUAACUUGCUCAUAAAACAUAGACUUGUGUUUGUCAUUGAUGUUCCCCUUAUAGAACUGUAUACUAGUCUAUAGCAUUUUUUAUUUUGUAUUUAAUUUGGUUUUAAGAAUUUUCAAUAUUGUUGAU